UACGUCGGGCGCGAGCGUUGUCCGGAAUUAUUGGGCGUAAAGAGCUCGUAGGCGGCCUGUCACGUCCGCUGUGAAAUCCCGGGGCUCAACCCCGGGCCUGCAGUGGAUACGGGCUGGCUGGAGGCAGGCAGGGGAGAACGGAAUUCCUGGUGUAGCGGUGAAAUGCGCAGAUAUCAGGAGGAACACCGGUGGCGAAGGCGGUUCUCUGGGCCUGUUCUGACGCUGAGGAGCGAAAGCGUGGGGAGCGAACAGG
rnacentral:rRNA from 1 species